UCAGGACAAAAAAAUUAAUUUAAGAUAAUUAACUCGUUCUAUUCCAAGCCUGCCUGCCUUCCAGCGGACUUUCAUCAAACACGCGGGAUCCUUCUUUGCAUCAUUUGCCCAAUAGGAUCAAUAGGUGACAAUAGGAUCUCAUUGUCACCAGCUCGACGUUAGCCCAGGCAGUUUCACGCCGAGGUCAAGGUCAGAGUUCUGUUAACUCUUCUCACCUGGAGUAUUUAUGAAAGGACAGAUUGGUGUCCAUCUGACCAAAAUUCAGCAUUUCUAGCAAGUUCCCAGGUGAUCCUGAUUCUACUGUUCCAGAGACCGACCACCUAAGAGUCACUGCUAGAAGAAGUUUAUCUUAGGAAAAAUGCCAACGUAGACAAAUCCAUCCAGCUGUCCUACUUUUGAAGAGGUCAGACAUUCCCUUUGAAAUCACCUGAAAUGACCUAAAUAUAUCUGAGAAGACAGAAGACUUACUUUCAUCAUCUGAAUCAAAUCCAAAGAGUGUCUGACAUUUUUUUUGUGCAAGAUGAGCCUCAAG